GCAGCUCCGAGAUCCGCCCUGAGGACCCGCCUCGAGUCCGAGGACCGCCCCCAGCCCGCCCCAAGACCAGCCCUGAGCCCGAGGACCCGCCCCGAUUAGCUAAGAGGACCAGCUCUCGGCGCGCCCUGAGCCCAGCGAUCCUCCCCAGGCCCACGGAUCCUCCAAAAGCCCACCCGGAAGAUCCGCCCCCGACCCGCUACCACCUCUAGGAUCUGCCCUCGAGGACUCACAGCAGAGUGCAGGUACGGUUCCCUCCACGCCUCCAGGAACCGCCUAUCGACCCGCCCACAGACCGCACGCCCCUAACCUGCGGGCCAGUCCCCCGCGCCGAGAGGUGAGCGUGCAGCAAGAGGUGCCAUCUUUGGAGAAAGCAGACCCUCACCCGAUACUGAAUCUGCAGUAAAUUGAUCUUGGACUUUAUUUUUAUUUUUUUACUUGUUUUUUGCAGUGUUGGACAAUGGAGCCCAGGGUCUCCCAUAUGAUAGGGAAAUGCUCUACCACUAAAUUAUAUCCCCUGCUAAAUAUAUUUCUAUUAUUUACAAACUA